rnacentral:lncRNA from 1 species
UGCAGUUUUGUGUGGUUCCUGACGGUGGCUGCCGAUCGGCGUGUGCAUUAGCUGGCGGCUGCCGUUUUAGACAGAGACUGCAGGAGCGCUCUGUUUCACGUUUAAAUGCUACUCCAUCUCUACUUUUGUAGUCCGUUUUGUUUCGUUUCGAGUCCAAAUAGUGGAUCAGCUGAGCACGUAACUACCUGAAACAGGAUUGUGUGGAAAGCACGAGCGAAAUUAGUUAGGCACCGAUCGAUAAGGUUGCGGGAUAACGUCCCAAUUCGCAAUGUUCAAAAUCCGGGCUUUUGUACUGCCAUAUGGGUUCUCAACUUUUGUCAAAGUCUAAACCUAAACCGUCAACCUAACUCCAGUUCCAACAUUCUUUUCCUUUUCCCAAUCAGGGGAAAACGCCCCUGACUUUUCGCAACAUUCUUGGUCUCUCAAUUAUCAAAACCAUCAAUAUUUGAUCACAGACUUAACAGAACGAGUUUUGAUGAUGAUGGUGCGUGGUUUUGUACACGUGGUACCCAAUCAACACAAAAAUUAAAGCUGCAAUAUAAUCAGGAAAUUUGGAGAAAACAAAAAAAAGAAAAUCAUAACAUAAACGCAUAA